GAUGAACGCUGGCGGCGUGCUUAACACAUGCAAGUCGAACGGAGAGGGGCAAGGGUGAGUGACACGGGGGUGAGCUGCCCUGUACUCUGGGAUAAGCUCGGGGAACCGGGUGUAAAACCGGAGAGGAUGGGAUGGGUUGGCGGCUUAUCGGCUUGUUGGUGGGGUAUUGGUCCACCAAGGGGUCGAGUGGUGGCCGGCCUGGGGGGGUGUACGGCCACAUUGGGACUGAGAUACGGACCAGACUCCUACGGGGGGCAGCAGUGGGGAAUCUUGCACAAUGGGCGCAAGCCUGAUGCAGCGACGCCGCGUGGGGGAUGAAGGCCUUCGGGUUGUAAACUCCUUUCGCUAGGGACGCGGUACCUGGAGAAGAAGCACCGGCUAACUACGUGCCAGCAGCCGCGGUAAUAC
rnacentral:rRNA from 1 species